GCUAACCGAAAACAGAUGCUAGAUAGAAAUUCUAGCAAUUCGCUCAAGUUUUGUGCUUCCUUGCCUAGCAUUCGAAAGCUUAAAAUUCAGAAUCAAUGCAAAAUUUCAGCUUAAUCAUUGAGUACGUUUACUUCUGCAUCAUUUUGCUCAAGUAUCUUCAGUGUCUCUCUAUUUAUGCGUAAGCUUCAGUGAUUUAGAUGAGAUUCUAACUCUUCUAGGCCUUUUGAGAAGCUCUCCUGCACUUUUAAGAGCUAGAAAUUUUGGUGAGUUUUACUAAUUUCAUGCAUAGACUUUGUUGAUAAAAUUUUCAACCAACACUACUGUAGGUCUGCAGUUAUAGUAAGCAGUUUCCUAAAAGUUGAAUGUCCUCAUUCUAUGACUUGUGUAGGUCUGCCACUACUAGAACAAAGGACAUAUGCGACGAAUAAAAUUUCUUUCGUCGCUUAGGUAACUACUUAAGCGACGAAAACCACUUCGUCGCUUCAGUAAAUACUUAAGCGACGAAAAAUCUAACCGUCUCAUAAGCUAUUACCUAAGCGACGAAAUUUUUACUUAAGAGGCGAAAAAUUAUUUGUCUCUUAAGCUCUGUCUUAGGCGACGAAUUUAUAAAUUUCGUCGCAAAACUUAUGCGACGAAACACUAAACCGUCGCAUGAAGUAUUACCUAAGCGACGAAUAUUUAACUUAAGAGACGAAAUAGUUUUCGUCUCUUAAGUUUCAUCUGAAGCGACGAAUAAAUUGUAUUCGUCGCAUAAGCUAUAUCUUAUGAGACGAAAUUUAAUACUAAUAUGACGAAAAUUUCGUCGCAUAAGUGUUUUCGACUUUAUAUAUCCUUCCUCGCUGCCCAGAUCUAAGACAGAAGAAAAUUUGGUAGAGCUGAAAUCUGGCGACAGAAAUCAUUAAAUCUGGCGACGGAAAGCUUUGUCUAGCUACCUUAUAUGAAUCAAGAGAUCAUUGGCUAGCUAACUAUAACUUGGUAUAAUCUCAUUCUCUUCUUUUCACCAUUUAUAGUUUUGAGGAUGAUCGAUAUUGAUGUUCGUUGUUUGUUGAUCAUAAUUUUGGGUUACCUAUCUUUGAUGAUGAUGUUGUUGUUUAUGAUAGCUAAAUCUCCUCCUUGUUUAUAUGUUCCUCCUAUUAAAAAAAAUCUAAUAAAAAAAGAAGUCCAUGUUUUCCGGUGAAAAAUUCCAGUAAAAUGAAGACCAUAUAUGUUUUCCAGCUAGUAUAAAAC
rnacentral:lncRNA from 1 species